UGAAUGGGUAAUGAUAAAUCUGCAUGAUUAAGCUAAAUGCAUCUUAUAAUCCUUGAUAGCUUCAAAGGAAAAAAGUGGAGAUGAAGUUGGAGGAGGAGGAGUAAGAAAGUAAGAAAGGAAAGCUAAAUGCAUCUUAUAAUCCUUGAUAGCUUCAAAGGAAAAAGGUGGAGAUGAAGUUGGAGGAGGAGGAGUAAGAAAGGAGUAAGAAUGGAAGACUUUUCUUUGGCCCCUACAGAAUUGCUAGCCCAAAACACAACAUAGAGGAUCUUGUCAGAGAGGUUCAAGAGAGCAUCAUCCCUGCCAGCUCUCUUCGGCACACAGUCCAUUCUCCCUGCUUGUGUCAAACCCAUCGACAUACAUGAACAAUCUGGAACCCAUGACAGAAGAGGAAACUGUCAUCACCUUAAUACUGAG